rnacentral:rRNA from 1 species
GAGUUUGAUCAUGGCUCAGAUUGAACGCUGGCGGCAGGCCUAACACAUGCAAGUCGAGCGGUAGCACAGAGAGCUUGCUCUCGGGUGACGAGCGGCGGACGGGUGAGUAAUGUCUGGGAAACUGCCUGAUGGAGGGGGAUAACUACUGGAAACGGUAGCUAAUACCGCAUAACGUCGCAAGACCAAAGUGGGGGACCUUCGGGCCUCAUGCCAUCAGAUGUGCCCAGAUGGGAUUAGCUAGUAGGUGGGGUAACGGCUCACCUAGGCGACGAUCCCUAGCUGGUCUGAGAGGAUGACCAGCCACACUGGAACUGAGACACGGUCCAGACUCCUACGGGAGGCAGCAGUGGGGAAUAUUGCACAAUGGGCGCAAGCCUGAUGCAGCCAUGCCGCGUGUGUGAAGAAGGCCUUCGGGUUGUAAAGCACUUUCAGCGGGGAGGAAGGCGUUAAGGUUAAUAACCUUGGCGAUUGACGUUACCCGCAGAAGAAGCACCGGCUAACUCCGUGCCAGCAGCCGCGGUAAUACGGAGGGUGCAAGCGUUAAUCGGAAUUACUGGGCGUAAAGCGCACGCAGGCGGUCUGUCAAGUCGGAUGUGAAAUCCCCGGGCUCAACCUGGGAACUGCAUUCGAAACUGGCAGGCUAGAGUCUUGUAGAGGGGGGUAGAAUUCCAGGUGUAGCGGUGAAAUGCGUAGAGAUCUGGAGGAAUACCGGUGGCGAAGGCGGCCCCCUGGACAAAGACUGACGCUCAGGUGCGAAAGCGUGGGGAGCAAACAGGAUUAGAUACCCUGGUAGUCCACGCCGUAAACGAUGUCGAUUUGGAGGUUGUGCCCUUGAGGCGUGGCUUCCGGAGCUAACGCGUUAAAUCGACCGCCUGGGGAGUACGGCCGCAAGGUUAAAACUCAAAUGAAUUGACGGGGGCCCGCACAAGCGGUGGAGCAUGUGGUUUAAUUCGAUGCAACGCGAAGAACCUUACCUGGUCUUGACAUCCACAGAACUUUCCAGAGAUGGAUUGGUGCCUUCGGGAACUGUGAGACAGGUGCUGCAUGGCUGUCGUCAGCUCGUGUUGUGAAAUGUUGGGUUAAGUCCCGCAACGAGCGCAACCCUUAUCCUUUGUUGCCAGCGGUCCGGCCGGGAACUCAAAGGAGACUGCCAGUGAUAAACUGGAGGAAGGUGGGGAUGACGUCAAGUCAUCAUGGCCCUUACGACCAGGGCUACACACGUGCUACAAUGGCAUAUACAAAGAGAAGCGACCUCGCGAGAGCAAGCGGACCUCAUAAAGUAUGUCGUAGUCCGGAUUGGAGUCUGCAACUCGACUCCAUGAAGUCGGAAUCGCUAGUAAUCGUAGAUCAGAAUGCUACGGUGAAUACGUUCCCGGGCCUUGUACACACCGCCCGUCACACCAUGGGAGUGGGUUGCAAAAGAAGUAGGUAGCUUAACCUUCGGGAGGGCGCUUACCACUUUGUGAUUCAUGACUGGGGUGAAGUCGUAACAAGGUAACCGUAGGGGAACCUGCGGUUGGAUCACC